rnacentral:rRNA from 1 species
UACGUAGGGGGCAAGCGUUGUCCGGAAUUAUUGGGCGUAAAGAGCGCGUAGGCGGUCCGAUAAGUCGGCUGUGAAAGUCAGGGGCUCAACCCUUGGAAGCCGGCCGAUACUGUCGGACUAGAGUCCGGAAGAGGCGAGUGGAAUUCCCGGAUGUAGCGGUGAAAUGCGCAGAUAUCGGGAGGAACACCAAUGGCGAAGGCAGCUCGCUGGGACGGUACUGACGCUGAGGCGCGAAAGCGUGGGGAGCAAACAGG